rnacentral:rRNA from 1 species
AUGUCGAACAGCCCACGCUCCCCUCCGCCAGCCGACUCCGACGACACCGGCGACGUCGGCGAUGGCCGCCGUCUCUCUGCCGAGGAGAUAGCUGCUGCCGCAGCCGCCACAUCUCCUUCCGCGGCCUCUGCAGCGCGCCCUCGUGCGUCCAUUACCCCCGACCUCACCUCCUCCGGCGCCUUGACCCACCCACCCAAUUCCCACCCCGAAAUACCUCUUUCCGUCCCUCUCACCGCUGCGCCCGCCAGCGGCCUUCCCUCCAGCAUCACGCACGUCGUCGACUUCAAGCUGUCCCUAGACGGGGCCAAUUUCAUCCGGUGGCGAAACUAUCUGAACCUCCUCUUCGCCCGCUUCCACGCCGAGGACCACGUCCGCGACGGCGCCGCGGCCCGUCUCUCCAACCCCGCAUGGCGUGAUGACGACAACACGAUCGUGCUGUGGUUCUUCUCCACGAUCGCCGGCGACCUCCUCGACAUCGUCGCGCCGGCCGGCUCCACCGCCUACACCAUCUGGCAGCGCCUCCACGAGUACUUCCUGGAGAACGAGGCGGAGCUCGCCAUGCACCUCGGGCAGGAGUUCCGGGCGGCUGUACGCGGCGACCUCUCCAUCAAUGAUUAUUGCCGCAAACUCCAAGGUAUUGCCGCAGCACUCGCUGACGUUCGGGAGCCGGUCACCGACCGUACUCUCACUCUACAGAUGCUAGAUGGCCUCGGCAAGAAAUUUGAGCUGCAGGCGGCCAUCCUCCAGUCCACCGUCCCGCUGCCCACGUUCGCUCAGGCCCGGUCGCGGCUGGUGCUCGCCGAACUCGCCAUCGACAAGAAGGCGCGUGCUGAGGGUGCGCAGGUCCUUGCCGUGCACUCCCCCGACGAGCGCGGUGGUGGUGACCGCAACGGCGGCCGUGGUGGCGACCCAGCUGCGGGCGGUGGCCGUGGCGGUGACCGCGGCCCUGCUGGAGGCGGUGGCCGUGGCGGAUCACCACACGGCGCCAACCGCAACGGUGGCCGUGGUGGGCGCGGGCGUGGCCGCGGCCGCGGGCGUGGUGACACGCCAAGUGGGGGCGGUCGUGGCUAG